rnacentral:rRNA from 1 species
UGUAAAGGCUCUAGUGGCGCAGCUAACGCGAUAAGUACUCCGCCUGGGGACUACGGCCGCAAGGCUAACACUCAAAGGAAUUGACGGGGACCCGCACAAGCGGUGGAGCAUGUGGUUUAAUUCGAUGCAACGCGAAGAACCUUCCCUGGUCUUGACAUCCUGCGAACUUUCUAGAGAUAGAUUGGUGCGGUCGGGAACGCAGUGUCAGGUGCGGCACGGCUGUCGUCAGCUCGUGUG